GGCCCCAUAGCACAACUGGAUAGGGCAGCCGCCUCCUAAGCGGUCGAUCUCAGUUCGAGUCUGAGUGGGGUCA
rnacentral:tRNA from 1 species